AUCGAUGAAGAACGCAGCGAAAUGCGAUAAGUAAUGCGAAUUGCAGAAUUCCAGUGAGUCAUCGAAUCUUUGAACGCACAUUGCGCCCUUUGGUAUUCCGAAGGGCAUGCCUGUUCGAGCGUCAUUAUCACCCCUCAAGCCCCUGGGCUUGAUGUUGGACGGUUUGGUGGAGCCUCCGGGCGUCACCCCUCCUAAAGACAAUGACGGCGGCCUGUUGGAACCCCCGGUACAUUGAGCUUCUUAACUGAGCACGUAUCGGAUCAAGGGAACCCAGGCUCCGGUCUUCUCCCUUCAUUGGGAAACUCCUUUCUAAGGUUGACCUCGGAUCAGGUAGGAAUACCCGCUGAACUUAAGCAUAUCAAUAAGCGGAGGAAAAGAAACCAACAGGGAUUGCCUCAGUAACGGCGAGUGAAGCGGCAACAGCUCAAAUUUGAAAUCUGGCCUCUUGGGGUCCGAGUUGUAAUUUGUAGAGGAUGUUUCGGGUACCGCUCCGGUUUAAAUUUCUUGGAACAGAAUGUCAAAGAGGGUGAGAAUCCCGUCUUGGACCGGUGGUAGGGCCUAUGUGAAACUCCUUCGACGAGUCGAGUUGUUUGGGAAUGCAGCUCAAAAUGGGUGGUAAAUUUCAUCUAAAGCUAAAUAUUGGCCAGAGACCGAUAGCGCACAAGUAGAGUGAUCGAAAGAUGAAAAGCACUUUGAAAAGAGAGUUAAACAGUAUGUGAAAUUGUUGAAAGGGAAGCGCUGGCAACCAGACUUGCGCGCGGCGGUUCCCCCUUCCUUUUGGUUGGGUUACUCCGCCGUGUCCAGGCCAAUAUCGGUUUUGGGGGUCGGUCAAAGGCGUUGGGAAUGUAUCUACCCUUCGGGCGUAGACUUAUAGCCCAGCGUGUCAUGCGACCUCCCGGGACCGAGGAACGCGCUUCGGCUCGGAUAUUGGCGUAAUGGUUGUCAGCGACCCGUCUUGAAACACGG
rnacentral:rRNA from 1 species